CACAGAAAGAAAUUUUACCAUGAUACAUACCAAAGGGUGGGAUAUUCCUUGGGCAGGUGGCUGAAUACAAGAAAAGAAAUUUGGAGAUAAGCAGAAUGGGGAGAGUCUUUACAGUUUGGUUUGAAGCUUGGAAUUUCCAUUUUGGAGCAAAUAUCACAGGUUUUUAGAUCUGUUGUGAUUCUGAAUCAAUAACAACUGGAAGCACCAAAAACGAGAGAUUUCUGAAGGCAAAGUUUCAAGAUCUGCUGGAUGAGAGAGACCCUACAUUUCAAGAGCCAAGGAUGCUGAAUGACACAAAUGAUACUUUGUGUGCUUGAUCCCAGUGGUAAUGUCUCCUCUCUGAACAUCUCCUUUCAGGAAAGUUGGACUUCCCUGAUACAUUCCAUGGUUCUGAAAGGGAAGUAUUUUACUCCAGUAAUACCCAGAUGUGAAUGACUCAGGACAAAUAUGAGCUCUGUGGAAAGGAAAAAAAAAAUUAAAUUGUCUUGCAAAUU